GCGCCGUCCUUCCUGUGCCAGUCUCUAGCCCCAGGGCCAGCUCCCUUCACCCAUGUCCAUCACUCUGUGUGGAAACUCUGCCAGCAUGUUGGACAAACUGCCCUACAAAGUUGCCGACAUCAGCCUGGCCUCCUGGGGAUGCAAGGCCCUGGACAUUGCAGAGAAUGAGAUGCCAGGCCUGAUGUGCAUGAGGGAGAUGUACUUGGCCUCUAAGCCACUGAAGAGCACCCACAUCGCUGGCUGCCUACACAUGACUGUGGAGACAGCUGUCCUCAUUGAGACCCUCGUGACCCUGAGUGCAGAGGUAGAGUGGUCCAGCUGCAACAUCUUCUCUACCCAGGACCAUGCAGCUGCUGCCAUUGCCAAGGCUGGCAUUCCAGUGUACGCCUGGAAGGGUGAAAUGGACGAGGAGUACCUGUGGUACAUCAAGCAGAUGCUGUAGUUCAAGGAUGGGCCCCUCAACAUAAUUCUGGAUGACGGAGGUGACCUUGCCAACCUCAUUCACACCAAGUACCCACAGCUCCUGUCAGGCAUCCGAGGCAUUUCUGAAGAGACCACAAUGGGGGUCCACAACCUAUACAAGAUGAUGGCCAAUGGGAAGCUGAAGGUGCCUGCCAUCAAUGUCAAUGACUCUGUCACCAAGAGCAAGUUUGACAACCUGUAUGGCUGCCAGGAGUCUCUUAUAGAUGGCAUCAAGUGGGCUACAGAUGUGAUGAUUGCAGGCAAGGUGGCAGUGGUAGCAAGCUAUGGCGAUAUGGGCAAAGGUUGUGCCCAGGCCCUGAGGGGUUUUGGGGCCCGUGUCAUUAUCAUGGAGAUCGACCCCAUCAAUGCACUGCAGGCUGCCAUGGAGGCCUAUGAGGUGACCACUAUGGAUGAGGCCUGUCAGGAGGGCAACAUAUUUGUCACCACCGCAGGCUGUACUGACAUCAUCCUUGGCCGGCACUUUGAGCAGAUGAAAGAUGACUCCAUCGUCUGUAACAUUGGACACUUUGACAUGGAGAUUGAUGUCAAGUGGCUGAAUGAAAAUGCUGUGGAGAAGGAGAACAUCAAGCCCCAGGUGGACCACUAUGGGCUGAAAAAUGGGCGUCAUAUCAUCCUGUUGGCUGAGGGCUGGCUGGUCAACCUGGGCUGCUCCAUGGGUCAUCCCAGCUUUGUGAUGAGCAAUUCAUUCACCAACCAAGUGCUGGCACAGAUAGAGUUGUGGAACCACCCUGACAAGUAUUCUGUUGGGGUCCACUUCCUGCCCAAGAAGCUGGAUGAUGCAGCAGCUGAAGCCCACCUGGGUAACCUGAAUGUGAAGCUGACCAAACUGAGAAGCAGGCCCAGUACCUGGGCUUGUCCUGUGAUGGCCCCUUCAAGCCUGAUCAUUACCGCUACUGAGAACCAGGCCUAUUGUUUGCCUUAUAACUGCUGGUCUUGCUGGGGUUCCACCUCUUUUCCCCACGAGCAAACGGCACCAAAUUUGAGAUGGUUUUGUUAAUGUUCCCCACUUACUCCCCAGAGCUAGUCACUCCAUCUUUGGCCUCUGGUGCAUCCCUCACACUGUUGUUAGUGUGGCAGAGGGAAUUGAGAAGCCCCUUCUCAAGCCCU